GUCUUCGUGGUGUAAAAGUAGCACACAUGGUGCGUGUUCGAGAUGUCCUGGUUCGAAUCCCGGCGAAGGCA
rnacentral:tRNA from 1 species